CUUAGAAAAAGCUAACAGGCAAUAGAAAUAUGUAUAUCAGAUUUUUUAAUGUAACAAACUACAUGUUAAUUGUUACCUUAUUCUUUUUAUCUUUAGUAGACACUUUUAAAAGAAGAGAUAAUUUUGUUGUGUUGAACUCACCAACCUGUGGUGUACAAAUGAAGACAGAACUAUAAUAAAUUAGUUUUGUUCUGAUUUUUUAGAACACUUGCAAUAACGUAUCGUUUAUAGUUCUUACCAGCCACAGUGGUAAUGAUAUAUUUUUCACAUCCAUGAAACAACAAAUGAAAUAAAUCAGCUGUCACAUGAUGUCUCUUAAAAAGCUAGGCCCUAAAAUGUUUUGAAUUCUUUUUGUACAUGAAGAAAUAACUAUUUUAAUUCAGAUAUUCUAAUGAGAAGUGUUUCUAUAUUUUAAAUAUUACUGACCAGAAUCAAAUGGGAAGGUGUUCAUAUUAAAGAAAGAAGCUGUAUUACUAUACCCCAUGCAUACCUAAACAAUCUCUCUCUCUCUCUCUCUCUCUCUCUCUCUCUCUCACACACACACACACACACACACACACACACACACACACACACGGAUACUUUGGAUUUGUCAUUCCUUUUCUGUAAGGGUUAAGACCUGAUUUAUUUUUUACAGUCUCCACAUUCUCCUUCCAAGUGUGAAGCAUGGAGCCAUGGACUCUUUCAAGUGUAUUUCUGUAUCCCUCUUAACAGCCAUCUGUAUGCUUAGACUCACAUGAGUCUGUGAAUCAGUGUGGCGAUAUCUGCUGAGACAAGUAAAUGAUGGAGAGAAAACAGAACAACUUCUGUACGGUGGACAUUUUUCAUCCAAUACACACAUAUAUAGUUGGGCAGAGUUGAGUGUGUCAAGAUCACCCAGGAAACGCCAGUGUGAAGCUGAGAACAGGAGCUAGGUUUAGGAGGAAGGCCAGGAAGGGAGGAGGGGGGAAGGGAAUUUGAAAGCAUAGGUAGAGGACAAAAGAGCCAUUUGAAAAUUGAAAUGGACGAGGCAGAGACAUAAAGAAAGGCUAUCCCAGAUGGCAGCUCUGACACGGACACACUGUCACAUCAGGAGUGAUGAGACUGUCAAAAGGGACCAAGAUGAAGCAGGUGCCAGAGGGGCCAGAGAAAGGACAAGGGGGCAGAAAGAAA
rnacentral:lncRNA from 1 species